rnacentral:rRNA from 1 species
GUGUGAAUUGCAGAAUUCCGCGAAUCAUCGAGUCUUUGAACGCAAGUUGCGCCCGAGGCUUGUCCGAGGGCAUUCCCGUUAGAGCGUCACCGCGCCACCCACCGCCCCGUUCCGAACGGGAGUCGAGUGGAACUGGCCGUCCCGACCGGGGACCUGACGAAUGGAAGGAAACCGGUCCGGUCGGCUGAAAUGGAUGGAAAUUCGGCCCCGCGGCGACCCGGCCCGCGAUCAGGUGACCCGCGCCCGCGAUUGACUUCGCGGUCGCGGUCUUCUCAAACGCGCGCGGUUUAGGGUCGCCCAGUUCGGUGUUUGUUCCGUACGAAGCAGGUCUUUUUUCCCCCCAAGGCACACCCCAAGGGGGGAAAAAAUAAAAUAUGGUCACGCAACGGACCUCUAAUCGGGAAAGAUCACCCGCUGAGUUUAA